GUCCCCAGCCAAAGUACCCCUAAAGGCAUCAGACCCUGGCUGAACUCGGGAGCUAAGCAGGGUCAGCCCUGGUUGGCAUUUGGAUGGGAGACCGCCAAAGAAGACCAGGUGCUGGAAGAA
rfam:Anolis carolinensis unplaced genomic scaffold chrTn0168, whole genome shotgun sequence.